AUUUAAUCCAAAACAUGGCUCCAUACAUUCAAUCAAUCCCAACCAUUUCCAUAAUGUGCGAAACUUGUAACACCAUAAAUACCGACACCCUCACCAUCUCGGCACCCCCACAACUCCGCAACACCUUCUCCUAACUUCGCACCAUCGUCGGAGAAGUCGAGAACGUCGGAAAACCUCCGCUCCGUUCUUUAUUUCAUUUCGCCGCAGCCCCGGAACUCGUAGACGACACCGGAGCCGUACGGGAUCACCGCGGAGAUUGUUCACUACGUUCGGGUAACCAUCCCGUUCGUUCCUUUGGAUUUUCCAUCUUACUCGUGCGUUAUUUACAAGAAAUCGCAACGCAAUCAAUGUUGAAUGUUCAAGAAUCAAGAAACAAGCUAGGAUGGCUUUAGAAACCCAUUUUAGCAUUUUAGUUAAGGAUUGAAUUUAUGUUUGUUUAUUUGAGACAAUGUACCUUACUUUAGAAUUUAAUAAAAUGAUUUAAUUUAUAUUGUCA